UGAUAUGUCUGGUAUUCUUGGGUUGUGCCAGAAUGAGAUCAACCGGCGUGCUAGGCAUAUCCU
rnacentral:pre_miRNA from 1 species